CCUACGGGAGGCAGCAGUGGGGAAUAUUGGGCAAUGGGCGCAAGCCUGACCCAGCAACGCCGCGUGAAGGAAGAAGGCUUUCGGGUUGUAAACUUCUUUUGUCAGGGACGAAGCAAGUGACGGUACCUGACGAAUAAGCCACGGCUAACUACGUGCCAGCAGUCGCGUGAAUACGUAGGUGGCAAUCGUUAUCCGGAUUUACUGGGUGUAAAGGGCGUGUAGGCGGGACUGGAAGUCAGAUGUGAAAACCACGGGCUCAACCUGUGGCCUGCAUUUGAAACUGUAGUUCUUGAGUACUGGAGAGGCAGACGGAAUUCGUAGUGUAGCGGUGAAAUGCGUAGAUAUUAGGAGGAACACCAGUGGCGAAGGCGGUCUGCUGGACAGCAACUGACGCUGAGGCGCGAAAGCGUGGGGAGCAAACAGGAUUAGAUACCCUUGUAGUC
rnacentral:rRNA from 1 species